rnacentral:lncRNA from 1 species
CGGGCUUCUGCUCCUAUGGCAUAUUGUACACCUUUUUGUCAGCAUAUGGUACUUUCUAUUGGGUUUAGCUUAUGUGCUUCAAAGCUAUCUUAUUUCUGGUGGAGUACUCAAGAGCUACAAAGCCCUUAAUUUGGGCAAGCUACGGUACCUGGCAAUUGUGAUAGAAAGUGAAGAAGCUUACCAAACAUCAAAAGUAAUUGAGCUGCUGCAGUGGCUAGAAGCUAUUGGUGUGAAGCGUGUGUGCCUCUAUGAUACAGAAGGUAAUGGUGGUUUGCUAUCCUGAUUGAUGUCAGACACUUUCUACUAUUGGUAUGCAACAAUGUAACGUGUAUUUAAAUCUUGUACAAUUAUUUGACUUUUCUGAUGACCAGGAGUGUUGAAGAAAUCAAAAGAAGCCAUCUUGAAUAAACUGAAAAAUGCAAGCGAAUUUAAGGUGUUGUCUUCUGUCCCUACAGUAAAGUUACUUUCUGGUUCUACAAUUCUCCACCAUAAAUUAACUAAUUAGCAUACUGGGAAGCAGUUCAGGCCGUCACGAUCAAUCUUCCAUUCUAGGUGUAUCUAGAAUUCAGGAUUGUGUUGAGACCAACAGAGUUUUCUUUUGAUACCAAUACCAAGCAAUUGCCUUUAAUUUUUGUUUUAUAUUUUUAAUAUGACUCCUAUAUAAAGCAUACAUUGUUAGUCCACCACUAGAUUACUGACGUAGGGCGAGUGAGGGUUAAGUUUAUGCGAAGUAGUACUUUUUUCUUUAAAUAUAUAGAUCUGAUAAAUGAUUUGUGCCUUUCACAAUGGACAGUUAUGCAUUAUUUAUGAUGCUAAAGUGUAUACCCAACUUAACAUCCACGCUGUGCAGGCUUAUGAAGAUUUAGUCGAUCAAAACCGCAUGGCUCUGGAAAUUUUGUCAUUUUCUGAUGGAAAAGAAGCUGUAACCAAAGCAGCUAACUUACUUUUUGUGAAGUAUUUGAAGUUGGCCAAAUCAGUUGGAGAUCAUGAAGAGAAAAUCUUUACAGAACCUAACAUGGAUGAGGCACUAAAAGCUAUUAGUAUGUUUUACUGUCCGAUGCUCAAUUGUCUACAAUAAUGGUUACCUGCACAAUUCAAUUUGACCUUACAGGUGUUUAUGGUAAUAUGCUUUCAGGUUGUAGAGGGCCAGACCCUGACCUCCUAUUGGUUUACGGACCUGCAAGAUGCCACCUUGGUUUCCCUGCAUGGAGAAUUCGAUAUACUGAGAUUGUGUGAGUGUUCUUCGACAGAUGUGUGAUGCAGUUAGCUGCAUAUAUUCCUAUAUAUAUGUACUUGAUGUCUAGUGAAACUUAAACCACAAAGCCAUGGUGCAGGGAAAGAUGGAGUAACCAAUCUAACCAUAAAAAUAGGCCAGAACAGGAAAAAAAAAUUGUUAGUUUUGAGCCAGCUGAUUUGUGUAUAAUACAUACAUAUACAUGUGUUUGUGUGUGUAUACAUUUAUCUCCUUUGUCUCGUGCAGAUUUGUUUUUCUGCAGUACAUUUUCUGGGAACUUUUGUGCAACAGAAGCUUCUCCUUGAUGUAUUCUGUUUGUACCGAUUUUGUUUCUGAACUGAUUGUGUCCCAUAUUUUGCUUUACAGACAUAUGGGACAAUUGAAGUCUAUGAGAUAUGGUUCCCUAAUUAAAGCCAUCUACAGGUUCACCACUGUGCGGCAGAACUAUGGUAAGUGAUGUUCCUCUUCAUUUGUCUAAUUGUCAUCUCAUGUGAUAGUUUGAGAAUGAACUAAUGAUUUCAUAAGAUCCCUAACAAGUUUGCAAUGGUGUGCUUAAAACUGUUUAUUGGUUAAAAUUUGAAUUUAUUGUAUUAUUUGUAUAACUUGGUAACCUUUUUCAAUUUAAAAUAGUUGUAUGGUUUUAAUUUUCAUCAUCGAGCCGUACGUAGAAACUGAAGAUUUGUAGAAUUUGGUUUGAAUAUUAUGUAUUGUUCUUGUUCCAACAGGUAAAUGAUAUAGCAAUUGGAAGUUCAUAGCUUGGAUAAAUGAUGGCUUAUACAAAGAGUUCUCAAAGUCCAAGCCUGCUUAUCGUCUUCCGUGUACCCUAAUUAUGUAAACAAUAAUCUUGCUCUUGUACAAGACAUCCAUUAUGUUAUAAGUUAUAACCAGUAAUCUUCACCCAACUGCACGUCUCUUAUUGAUUUUCAAUUAAAUGGCAAGGAUAACCAAAAAAAGCAAAAGUGGGAAUUUAAAUGGCAACAUUUCAUUUUCAUAGACGAAUAAAAGUCAAAACAUGUUAAUCUAAACAUGUUCAUUUUCAACUUACGGUAGUUGGGUGUCGGUGCCAACCACAAAUCUAUAAGAUGAUACGCAUAGCAUUCACGUCAAUUCUCAUUAAUUAUUCAUAGUCAAUUCUCAUUAUUUUUGAAAAUAUUUAAAUAAAGGGGUUUUUAAAAAAAUAGUAAAUUGAAGCUAUAAUCCUCUAAUUAAUUUAGUUCUUGAAUUCUGUGAACCAAGAGGAUAUUUGGACUGAUUGGUAAUUUCAAAUGCAGGGUACCUAGAUUUUGAGAGUUUUUUUGUUUUUUGUUUUUGUUUGGGUGUGUGUGUGUGGACAAACUGGUACUUAUAAAACCAGGGCGCAAACAAAGCACCAAAAACAAACAGGCAAAUAAAACAUCAAAAGUGAACAUAGCUUCUGGAUACAUAUUGGAAAGAAAGAGACGCAAUUUCAAAAAGUCUUAAGUCGUCACAAAUAGGGGUGGGCAUCAAUAUGGCUGAACCGAUGAAACCGGCCGAAUUAAACCAUAAUUAUCGGUUUGGUUUAGUUUUGAUUAAGAAGAAGUCAAAUGGUUUAAAAACUGAACCGGACGUAUAUGGUUUGGUUUGAUUUGGUUUUGAGCUUUUGUAAACCGACCUAAACCAAACUGAACCGUUUAUGUGUACAUUUAUUUGUUUAUAUUUUAUUUUACUUGUGUAGUACUCUAAUUAGUUAAAAACUAUAUAAGAAUAUUUGAAUUGAGCUAUAUUAGUUAGUGAAAUAUAAAGUUUUAUGACAUUUUGAGCUUUAGGAUGGUUUCCUAGAAAAUGAUUUACGUAUGAAGCAAGUUGUGAAUUUGUUGGUUAUAAUUGGGCUAACAAUAUUGAAAAAAUGCAAAAAGAAAGAGAAUUGGGCUUAGGCCCAAAUUGGCAGAACCAAACCGAACCAAACCUUCUUAAAUUGGUUUGGUUUCCUUUAUAACUUUUAUCCAAACCGAACAAAACCAAACCGUCAUAUUGUAAUUGGUUCGGUCGUGGUUUUGAAGUAAAACCGAUCCAAUUCGGACCGUGCCCACCCCUAGUCACAAACCAACCAGCAUCAGUCUAACCAUUUUGUGGCGGUGGGCAUGGUAGGCCAUCCUUGUUUAGAAUGUUUGUCAGAGAGGAUGGGGGUCGGUCAACCCAGACAAAAGAGCGCAUCCUUGAGGAAGAUAGCUUGGGCAAGUGUAUUUGAGAGAUUAUUUGUGUUACUUAUUUAUUUGUUAGUAAUUAAAUUAUAGGUGUAGAUAUAUUAUAGGACAUAGCUUGGUUUUUGUACUUGUUUCAUUAUUUAAUAUUUCCUCAUCAAUAAAAAGCUAUCGCCUUUCUGUAAAAAUAAAUAAAUAGUAAUAAAUAAAAAUUAAGCGCGCUAUAGUUUAGGGAAUCCGUGAAAAGAGUAUUGGUUCAUUAAAUUCAACGGCAAAUGGUGUAAUUUGUUAUUAAAAAUAGGGGCUAGUUAAAUGGUGUGUUUAUUAAUUAGGAAUUGAAUUCCACUUAUGAAGGAUUUCUCUGUUUACUUCACGUCAAGUAAUUAAAAAGUAAGUGGAUCGACACAAAAUUAGAAAUUGAAUUUCUGAUUUUGGAGGAAUUCAAAUCUUGGGUGGGAGAUGAUAUUCUAAUUUACGGAGAACUAACCCAUUAUGAAUUCAUCUUUUUUUACCCAUUAUACUUUAACUCAACAACAAGGACAUUUUAGUAAUGAGUACCAUUCNNNNNNNNNNNNNNNNNNNNNNNNNNNNNNNNNNNNNNNNNNNNNNNNNNNNNNNNNNNNNNNNNNNNNNNNNNNNNNNNNNNNNNNNNNNNNNNNNNNNUACAUGGUUAUCUAUUAACAUGAACGGUAGUUAAACAUCACAAUCUUCUAACCAAAAAAGAAAACCUUACCCUCUUUUUAUUGACGUGGAUGUUCAUCUUAUCUGUCAUAUAAGGUGGUAUGGAAAUGUAGAAUAAAAAUAUAAUAAGUAUAGAGUGCUGCUAAACGAACCCUAAAAUUAACUUAGUACACCCUAUGAUCUAAGUACACCCUAAUAUUUUAAUUAAAAUAUCAAAUUAACUAAGUACACCCUAUAAAACUACCAAAAAUACCCCUGGUACACUCUAAUAUUUGUAGCAUUAUUUUAAAGUUAAUUUUUAGCUUAUUUUUUAAUAGUGUUUAUAAAUCUUUGACUUUUCAUAUGGAUUUGUGCUUCUACUAAAACUGUUGACACUUUUUUUGCAAUCCCAAGUUCUUGCAAUCAUCACCUCUUUCGUUAAAAACACAAUAGGACAAGCAAUCUCUUGAUUAGGGUUGAAUAUGGUUAGUAGGGUGUACUUACUAAAAUUAUAUUUGUUUCACAAUUCCAUAUAUCCUUUUUGGUCAUUUUAUAUUAGGAUAAAUCAGCAAUUCAAUAUAUACUUUUAUAGUAGGGUCUACUCAGUUAAUUUUAGGGUUCGUUUAGCAGCACUCUAAGUAUAACAUUACUAAUAAUUUGAAUUAACCAACUUUUUGAGGAUCGUUUCAAAAUAGUACCAAAUCUUUAAAAUUUUGUACUUAGGUAUUUGAACUCACGAAAAAUAUACAAAUUAGUUAAUCCAUUACUUACAUCAUUCUAUCUAAUUUAUCACGACCCUUAAAAUUUGGGUACUUUUAUGUAGUUCACCCUAAUAAUUUUCAAUAGAGGAUGCGAUUACCUCAACAAAUACAUCAACCAAUGGUAAGGGGGCCCAUAGACCAGGAAUGCCUUUUAUGUGGGGGCCCAACCGAAUCUACAAUCCAUAUCCUCCGUGACUUGCUUGGCGUAGUUGGAUAUCAAGCAACCGCGGGUGGAAUGGGACAAUGACGCUCAUUCACCCAAGGAUUGGGUAUUGGGAUGUGCAUAUUCACUCAGUUAUCAUGACUUGGGAAUGGGAAACACGUAAUGGAUGGCUACAGGAGGUUUAGGCCUGACCAAGUCAGCUUGAGUGCAUCUUUGUGGCUACAGGCUUGUUUGCGGGUUAAUGAUUUCUUAGGGUCUCAUUAAUGGGCAUAGUCAAGCAGAACAAAAGUGGCAGCCACCACCUCAUGUUAAACUCCCAAAAUCAAUGUGGAUGGUGCUUGGAAGCCAGGGACCACAGAGAGGGUGGCGUUGAGGUAGUUGUGAGAGACUCCAACGGCAAAUUUGUGGCGGUUUGUGCGUUUAAAAUGGAUAAUGUAUUAUCAUGGAAAGGAGUUUUUAAAAAGUUAGUCUUCGAAAGUGAUGCUCAAACUAGAGAAGGUUUUAUCCAUAUUCGUUGUAGUGACAAUUCAAAUUUUAUUUUAUUUUUGAUGUAUUGUAUGAGAACUGUAAUUCAUAAUCAAGGAACUGCCCUUUGUCCUUAAUAUGAACUCAAACUUGUUGUACUAGUUGUUUUACAUUAAUAAUAUUUUAUUGCUUAUCAUAAAAAAAAAAAACAAGAGAUAAUGUAUAUAUAUGUAAUUGUUUUCCCAAUAACAUGUGAUGGUUGGGUGUCAAUAUCAAUUAUUGUUAUAGGUCCUUUGUGAGCUAUUAAUGAGAAUCUUCUCAUUAUUGCUUUUGAAACAACAAAAAAAUAUUACAAAGGGUAGGCACAUUAUAAAAUCCUUUCGAAUGAAAAUAUAUAAAAUAUAUUUUCUCCAUUGCAUGGAAAACAUUUAUACUCAAAUAAAAAGAACACUAUUUAAUUAUAUUGUAAAUGGAUUUAUCCGUACGCCGGGGUUGGUGUUCUUUUGGGAUUCAAAUUCUGGUUUCUAUUAGUAGGGCCAAUCCAGGAUUGCAUAUGGAGGACUCACAUGGCAGCCACCUCAUGCUAACACUCUCAAAAUCAAUGUGGAUGGUGCUUGGAAGCCAGGGACCACAGAGAGGGUGGCGUUGUUCUGGUUGCAAGACUCCGGCGGGAAAUUUGUGGCGGGUUGUGGGAUUAAAAUGGAUAAUGCAUUCUCUGCGCUACAAGUUUGUGGCAGGUUAUGGGGUUAAAGUGAAUAAUGUAUUCUCUGCGUCAUAAAUGAAGACUUUGACUGCAAGAACAUGUACAAUAUUGGCGAUGGAAACGGGUUUGAAACUGAUGCCCUCUAGGUUACUUGAUAAGGUAUUACUCAUAUUCGUCGUACUGACAAUUAUGAUUUUAUUUUAUUUCCGAUGUAUUGUAUUUGUAUAAGGAUUGUAAUUCAUGAUUCAGAAACUUUCCUUGACCGUUAAUAUGAAAUCAAAUUUGUUUAUAUGUAAUUUUUUUCCCAAUAACAUGAAUGAUGUUUGGGUGUCAAUAUCAAUUAUUGUUAUAGGUCCCUGUUGAGCUAUUAAUGAGAAUAAAAAAGUCCACUUUUCCAAUAGAGAAAGAGAGUGAUUCCUCUAUGGCUUUUGAAAGAACAAAAAAAAAAAACACAUUAGAAAAUCCUUUCGAAUAAAAAGAUAUAAAAUUUAUUUUCUCCAUUACAUGGAAAACAUUUAUACUAAAAUAAAAAAGAAGAGUAUUUAAAUCCUAGUAGUAAUAAUAAAAAUCCCUAGUAAACACUAGUGGACUGGACUGUAAAUCCUAGUUGACUUGACUUUUGUUUUCGUCACCAUCGCCUUGUUUGGUUUGCUUGGUCUGCUUGAGCACGGCAUUCGCUUUUUUCCACCUGUGAUAUUUUCCAAACAGCACCUCUAUGUCUUCAAGGGUUCUUCCCCUGGUUUCGGGGAGCAGCAUGUAAAAGAAGACCCAACUCAACGCAGCAAUCCCCGCGUAGAGAAAGAAGGACCCACCAAUCGUAAUGGCCUUGUACAGUGAGAGAAAAGUCAUGGAUAUGACGCCACUUGUUAUCCUGUUAACAGCCACUCCCAUACUAACUCCUUGCGCGCGUAGCUUCAGCGGGAAGAUCUCAGAGCUAUAAACCCAUGUUAUGGGCCCCAACCCAAUCGAGAAGAACGCAACGUUCAAUAACACCAUGGUGAUGCACAAUGCGAUGGCCCACGGGACCGUCUCCUUGUGAUUAUCGAUGAUCGUGAGGCCCACCCCGAGGCACGCGAGUGAAAAUAUCAUCCCAGCCACGCUGGACAAAAGCAACUUACGCCGCCCGAACCGAUCAAGGAAAAACGUGGCGACCAAGAUGGCAAUGGUCUUGACAAAUCCAACGCCCACGGUUGCAAGGAGCUUGUGGUCGUAAGAUUUGAUCCCCGCCUUCUGGAAGAUCCUGGGGCUGUACAGGACUACAGAGUCUAUGCCCGAAGCUUGUUCGAAGAAGUGGAUGCCGAGGGCUGCGAUCAAAAUGUGGCGAACGGCUGGCGUUGGGUGCACGAUCAAGUCUUUCCAUACGCCUUCACCAUGGCUUUUCUUCGUGACGGGAACAACGUCGUCGUCUAGCUCUUUGGCGAUGCCUGCGGCUUCUUUGAUGUCGUCUAGCCUCAACUGAGCCUCUUCCUUGGAGGCUGAGGUUUUGUCGAGGACGCGCUUGGCGUCCCCAAGUCGCCCUUGCAUGACGAGCCAACGCGGCGACUCUGGCAUGGCUAAGACGCCGAGGGCGAGAAUAAUGGCUGGAAGGGCGCCGAUGCCGAGCAUGAACCUCCAAGCGAGGUGAGCUGGGAGCUUGGAGAAGGCGUAGUUGGAGACGUACCCCAAUAGUAUGCCAAUAUUGACGAACACCUGUACAUAUGUAUCCAAAUCAAAGAAAUUAGUAUAAAUUCCACACCUAUAAACCACAGAAAGUCAUAAAACACUUGCCAAAAAACCUCAUAAAACACUUGCCAAAAAAACUCGUACAACCCGUUCACCUAAUCUCUUUAAUAAAUCUCACGUUGUCAAAAGUGGUUUCCAACCACAUCCACAUCCACAUCCAAAAGUACAAAAUCAAAAUCAAAAUCAAACAAAGGGUAUAUGGUGGGGAGAACUGGAUAAACAUCAUCACAGGUAUCAAAAGCUUUCACAUGAUGUCUCCAAAAGCGCUUCCCAGAUUGUGUAAUGUGAUGAUAUCACAAGUGACGAAACAAACACUUCCUACUUUUGUUUCACAUGAAACCAGCUUAGUUUUGUUUCGGGCUCAAAAAAAAAAAGAGUAAAUAAACAAAUAAGGAAAGAAAACAAACCUCAGGGAAAGAUGUGAGGAAGCCACGGGACAAAGUCGGAGCGAUCUCGGCGGUGUAGACGGGAGAGAUCAUGAGACCGUAGCCAACACCGAUUCCGGCAACGAACCGGCCGAACAUAAGGAAGCCGUAGCCAGGGGCGACUCCCAUGAGGAUAGCUCCGACGAAGAAGAUGGCUCCGGAGAGGACGACGGUGUACCGGCGCCCGAUCCAAUCGGAGGUUCUGCCGGCCAAGCCGGAGCCGACGAGAGAGUAGAUGUUCAAUGUGCCUGUAAGUAUUUGAAUCUGGACGUCGUUGAUUUUGAGGUCAUCUUGGAUGAAGAGGUUCGCCCCACUCAUCACACCAAUAUCUGUAAACAAAAGUGACCACACUCAGCUCAUACACUCCAAAACCAACAAUUUUUUUCUUGCAGAAUUAAGAUUAAAAAAAGUAAGAGAAAACGAUUUCGAGUGCUAAUAGGAUAAUUACCGUAGCCCAGUAAAAUUGAUGUCAUGCAAGCCAAAAUGGAGCAGGCAAUGGCGAAUUUGUUUCUCUUGGGUUUCUGUGGCGGAUCAAAGUCUGCUAUUACUGUGUUCUUGGGUUGGCCGGAGAUGGCCUUGUCUUCAGCUAUCGGGUCAGCCAUCUCGAUCUAGACAGAGGUAGGGAGAGAGAGAGAGAGAGAGAGAGAGAGAGAGAGAGAGAAGUAUCAGAGAGUGAGCAGCGACAGGUAGAGAGUUAGGGAGGAAUAGAAUAUAAUUCAUUCAAUAUAUAAGCAAUCUCUUCCUUAAAGUAGUAUUAAUUAUUGUAAAGGGAUUUAUCCGUAUGCCAGUGUUGGUGUUCUUUUGGGAUACAAAUACUGGAUUGGAUAUGGACGAUAAGGAUUUAUCCAAAAAUAAAUUCAAAUAAAUGCGGGACUCAAAUGGUAAAACGUUCUCAAGGGGUUAACGUAUCCAAGCGGAUCCUAAGAAGUAAAUAUAUAUUAUCUUUACAUGGUAAGAGUUAUUACCUAACAGAAAUUGUUCUUUUGAGAGAAAUAAUACUGUUCCCUUCUUAGACUUGGAUAUGUAUUACCGUAGGAGGAAUACUAACAACUUUCUCUCUAACCUUCUUAGACUUGGAUAAAUAUUAAUUUUCCUCAUGACAUGUGUCAUUUUCCUUGCACUUAAAAUAAUGUCAUCAAUCAAUAAUCACACAAGCUAAUUUUUAUUUUCCAAAUUAACCCUUAUUAUAUAUAUUACAACAAGCUAGUAUUUUAACAACCUUCUUUUCACCUUAUUAAAAAAUUAAAUAAGAAAAAAAAAUACUGUUUGAUUUUUGUUUUUCCAAAGAAUACAUAUGUCGCUAAUAGAACCUUCAGUCCUUGCAUAAUUUUCUUUCCACUAAAUAAAAAAAUUAAAUAAGAAAAAACGCAGGUUUUUUUUUUUUUUUUUAAUAUAAAAAAGUAUGUUUUUAGUUUUCCAAAGGAUACAGACUUAAUAAUAAAUUUUUAUCCUAGCAUAGCAUGGACUUCUUUUGUAACUUAGAAAAAAAAAUUAUCACUGAAUAAAAGAAAAACACAUUUUUAUAAAUAAAAAAAAGAAGACCUUUUUUCUUUUAAAUUUAUAUUUAAAAAGAUGGUAAGAAAGUUGUAAAAAAAAAAAAAACUCAAUACAUUUAAUAAGGAUAAACUUGGAAAACAAAAUUUUGCUUGUGUAAUGCAUUUAUGACAUUAUUUUAAGUGUAUGAAAAGUGACACAUGUCAUGAGUAAAAGGAAAAAGGUCCAAAGGAGAAGGUUAGAGAGAAAGUUACUAGCCCAUUUUGGGUUUAUCUUAUAGAUUGAUAUUGAGAUAUUUGAGAUGCAAAAACUUGCAUUGGACAUGGAGAUGAUUAUUGAGAAAAUCUCGAAUUUUGGGUAUGUGGUAUGGUGGUAAUGUAUUGGCAUUAAUCUUUUAAGGGGUUGUUUGGUAUGACAGACUAUCAUGGAUUGAUUAAAUCCUCGGACUCUCUUGGAUUAGCUCGGAUUGGCCUAAGUAGGAUUAAGUACUGACAUACCUUUGGUAUUGCGUCGGACUAAGAAGCUAGAUUGUAAAAAUAGUGAAGAUCUAUAUUUGGUGUUGUGUUGGACUAAAAAAUAAGUAUUUUAAUAUUUAAUUUUAAUUAAGAAUUUUGACCUAAAAAUAAAUAAAAAGAAAACAAAUAAAAUUCUAAUAUUUAAUUUUAAUUAAAAUUUUGACAUAAAAAAAAUAAAAUAAAGAAAAUUCUAAUAUUUUUUAAAGGCUAAAACUUAUCUCUUUUUCUUUAUUCCUCUUCACUUCUUUGUCUUUUCUUCUUCCUUUCCUUCCCUAGCCCGCUUCUUUUUUUAUUUUAUUUAUUUUUUCCUUUUUUCUUCUGCCUUUCCUGUUUUAUUUUUUCUUUCCUUUCUCUUUUCUUCUUCCUUACUUCCUUUUCACUCUAUCUUCAUGCCGCACUAUUUAAGAUUUCGUCUGGAAUUUUUUUUGCAGCCACCACAUACCCAUAAGUGGAUUUGGCUCUCUUUAAAGUUGGGGUGCGGAGGCCACGAGCCCCCCAGGAUGAGGAUGAUUUCUCACUCGACCAGAUUGGGGGCAGAUCCAAUCGAACCAUCAACCCAGAAGCGUGUGGUGGCUAGUUAUGAGUUUGAUGAUGGUGGUCAGACGGUCAUGGACUCGUGGUGGUGGUGGUCGGGCUCGCAUGUUUCACAGUGGUGGUGGUAUCCACAGGACUUGUGUGUUCAAAAUAGCACCCUUGCUAUUUUGCGAACUACGUUUCGAGCUCGCUGUAUUAGACAAGCGAGUCCAAUAUUUUUUUUCCCCCAUUUGGACUAUACAAUCCCAUUUAAACUAAUCAUCUCCCUUAACAAACAUGGAUUUCAAGUACUAUUUAACCCAAUCAUAUCCAGUGAAGCAUAGUAAGGCAUGCCAAACAUGGCUUAAGUUUGUAUUGUUUCUAGACUCUAUUUAGUGAAGGUAUGGAAAUCUACACGAUUUCAAGUUGAGUGAUACUAAACGAACCCUAAAAUUAACUUAGUACACCAUACUAUCAAACUAUUUAUUGAAUUACUAAUUUACCCUAAUAUAAAAUGACCAAAAAGGAUAUAUUGAAUUGUGAAGCAAAUGUAAUUUUAAUAAGUCACCUUACUCACCAUAUUCAACCCUAAUAUUCAAUGGAGGCAACAUUGAACGCUAUGAAUCCAACACAAACCCACCACCACCGUCCCUCCCUUUCUCUUUCUCUCUCUCUCUCUCUCUCUCUCUCUCUCUCUCUCUCUCUCUCUCUCUCUAUCAAAAAAUAUUACUCCCCCCAACAUCCAACCACACAAAAAAAUAUAUACAUAUAGAUAUGCAGAUAACACACACACCCACGCAGGCACGCGCGCGCAGAGAGNNNNNNNNNNNNNNNNNNNNNNNNNNNNNNNNNNNNNNNNNNNNNNNNNNNNNNNNNNNNNNNNNNNNNNNNNNNNNNNNNNNNNNNNNNNNNNNNNNNNUGGUGGGUUUCAAGGUGGGCAUUAUUCCCAAACGGGCUUUUAAACUUGCCCACCUAGGAACUCUAGCUCUUCACCCUCUGAUGAAUGUAAUGACAAUUAUGUUUGCUGUUUGCACCUUGGGGGUUGGAUUGGCAACCCUUAACAGUUUAAGAAACAAACCCACUUUGGAAUUUUCUUUCUUCCACUAGUUGAAGGGAGAUGGGUUGUGUUAAUUAGAGAGAGAGAGAGAGAGAGAGAGAGAGAGGCGGUGGUGGUAGGGGUGGGUUGGAUGCGAGAGGGCUUAAGUCGGAGGAGGAAGGACGAGGUUGGCUGGGUGGGGGUGGGGGGGGGGGAGGAGAGGGGAUGAUGGGAUGUCGAUUUAACAGGGUUAAGUGUUGUUAAGUGGUUUGCCACAUGUCAAAAAAAUAGAAGGGAAACAUGUCGGGCACAUGGCAUUUGGUAACAGUAAAAUUGGGCUCAUGAAUGGGUUAGGUGUUGUGUGAUAAAGUGUAUUAGGGUGUACCAUGGAUAUUUUUGGUAGUUAAUACGAUGUACUGAGUUAACUUUAUAAUUUGAUUUAAAUAUUAGGGUGUACUUAGAUCAUAGGGUGUACUCAAUUAAUUUUAGGGUUUGUUUAGCAACACUAUUUCAAGUUAUGUAUGCAUGUGAUGUGAAAAAAUAAAAGAAGAUAUGUGUGAAUAUGGGAUUCUCUUGAUUCGAGGCCUUUGUUUUAUUUUUUAUUUUUUUGAUUACAAGGAGGGCCGAAGCCCAAGAAAAACCAGGAAAAAAUAAAAAAACAUUGUUACAAGCGUAGCAGUGGUCAUCCUAAGCCUAACAGAAUAAUUUGCCAAGAGGCUUGCAAUAGAAGGAGGGGAAAAUGUUAUAGGAUGAUAUAAGGCUUAAAUGUUUAAACGUUCAACUAAGUAAAUGCAUUCAGGGGAGAACUUUUCCAUCUGGAACUAUGAUAUAGGGCUUUUGUCACUCAAACCAAAGUAUCCGUACUACAACGAAUAAAACAAAGAAAUGCACGAUAAAUUGUACCCCAAAAAGCCCAUGAUAAAUGACAAACCAACCCCACAUCUCCGUAAAACAAAGCCCCCCACACCUCCGACAAAGCACAAUGCCCACCCAAACUCUCAUCUUAAGUGGAGUAGGUUCCAAUCAUUUUCAUGGGCUCCACAUCCUACAGGUUCUGUGGAUUUAGUGACAAUUUGUGUCACGGGCUUGCACCUUCUAAUUAGAGUGAGCAUCUUCGAUGGAGUAGGCAAACCUUAUUUGUUUAGACAAAAAUGUAUUUUUAUUUAGUAUCAUAAUGUGAUGACUUAGUCAUAAUUAAAUAUCGAACUUAUUAUAAAUAUCAUUCUUGCAUUGUCGGAUGUUGGGAUUUCUCCGCCUUGAAUUAAUAUCCUUUAGAUUAUAGAAGUUAAACUCUCUCAAAACCCGCAGCAAUUGAAUCAAGACACGUAUCCAUUAUUUAAGUUUAAAAGACAUGUAUCGUCAUGCAAGAAGAAUUGUAUGUAUUGACUAGGAGAACUGAGCUACUAGCUAAGUUCAAAAGGCAUCGAUCGCCACAAGAAGAGUUGAAUUUUUGGGUCCAAGGAUAUAUUGAAUUACUAUGGGCCAGUUUGGUAUUCAAUUUGAAUACAACUUUUUAAAUUCAAAAAUAGAAUUUGAAUCCAACAGACACUUAGUAAACUUAUAAAAUUAAAAUAAAAUAAAAUAAAAUCUGUUUUUUAAGUUUUUUUUUUUCCUAACAACGCAUAAGUUCUCAAAUUUGUAAGAUUUGAAAACAGUUUUCAAGUUGCAUACCAAACAAGUUUUGAAUCUUAAAAAUAAAUUUAAGAACUCCUUGUUUUUAAGAAAAGUCAAAGUUUUUAAGUUCUCUAUUUGAAUAGGAUACCAAAUGCCCCCUAAUAUAUUUGACUCAUUUGUGUCAAUAAUUUGAAAAGGCUAGCGUAGGAGAGAGAAAGGCUAUAAAGGAAAAUCUUAUAUGAAAGGGAAAUUCACUAUUAUAGCCAAUAUAGGAGCCCAAAUAUAAAAAAAUCUUAUAUGAAAUGGACUUUAGAAACACAUCCAAAACUCAUUUACAGCAUAACAAAAAGGCUUUUAACUUAUUUUGAUUACAAAACUGCCAUUGAUUUCUUAAACAACCCAACUCUAAACUCGUAAAAAUCCAAUACUCAUAGGCAUCAAGUAUGUAUUUAAUAAUCAAAAUUAAAUUCAAUAGGGUUAGCUGUCAUUUUUCGGGUUUUUUUUAUAUAGAAAUUAAAUGAUAUAAAAUUUAUCUAUAUUAUUAAUGCUAAGAAUAAGCAUAUGACUAAAUAUCUCAAGAAAAAAAUGGCAGAGAAGUUGGAAAUUGGAUAGAUCAUUAUUGGCUAUGAUGCCUGUAAACGUGCAACUUUGAUUAGUCUUCCUUUUGUUUUUAUUGUUCUUUGCCCUAUAGUCAUCAACGUUGAUUUUGUUUUGGUCAACCAUCAUGCUUUGAUUAAUUUGUCGAAUCAUAAACUAGAUUCCCAGUUUAAUCAAGAAAAUUACUAUUCGACCUUUUCUUUUUGUUUUUAGUUGAUUCAAAAAUGGAGACUUAUAAACUAAAUCAACAUUUUCUUGAAUAACAUGCUUAGAGAAUCCUCUUCAUCAUUCUUGUAAUUAGGAAAUCAAAUUAAUUAUAUAUUUAAGUAGACGAUUUGCUUAGAUUCACUUCUUUUGUUUUGUUUUUGUUUUUUGAGAGAAAAGCCAUAAUUGUAUUCAUCAAUUAGCUAGGCACAAAGAUCAUAAGUCACAAGGGCAAAUACAAAUGCCCACAAAGGGAUAAUACGAAUAUGGAAACAUAGUAACCACAUCAGGUUAAUCCAGAUACAUGCCACAAAAGGCCAGAGAAGGCAUAAAAGCCACAUGCCUGAAUAAACAAGACAUGAAUCACAACACUCAAAUCUACCAAUACAAUUAUAACUUUGGCUUAAUAUCACCAAAUGUCCCUAAGGUUUACGAAACUAUCAGAUUACAUCCUUAAUAAUUUUUUUGGUAAUUCGUGGUCCUCAAGAUUAGUAUGUAUGCUCACCAAUGGUCCCUGCUGUUAGGUUCCGUCAAAAACUCCGUUAGUUUGCUGAUGUGACAUAUAUGUUUAUAACAAAACAUCCCUAAAGUUCACGCACCUAUCACAAAUGGUCCUUGCGAAAUUAUUAAAUUAUUUUUUUAAAAAGAAAACCAAAAUUUUAUGAAUUUUAAAGGAAAAAAUUUCGCUGGGACCAUUUGUGAUAGGUGUGUGAACCUCAGGGAUGUUCUGUGAUAUAUAUAUAUAUAUAUAUAUACCAUGUCAGCAAACUAAUGACAGAGACCAUUUGUGAGGAGCACACAUACUAACCUUGAGGACCACGAAUGACAAAAAAAAAAAAAAAAAAAAUUAAAGAUGCAAUAUGAUAGUUUCGUAAACCUUAGGGACGUUUUGUGAUAUUAAACCUUAUAACUUUUAACUCUCACAAGUACAAAAUACAAGUAGAGACUAGAAAAUUAUCCAAAACCCAACUCACAAAAUAGAUGCAAUUAUUACAAAAUAAGAAAAUUGAAACAAACAACCAAAAACCAACAAAACCAAUACCACGUGCACCGUUAUUGCCACCGUCAUCACAGACGCCGUCGCUGCUUAGAUUCACUUCUUAAUGUUCAUAUGUACUAGAGUCAUAAAUUAAUAUCUCACUCAUGUAUUCUUGUAUUAAUUAAUAAUCAAAACUUGAGAGAAUAGUUGGUGUCUCUCUAGUAUUAUUGCAAGCUCGGUACUAGACAACUCUCUUAUAUUGUCUUGAUUGAAAUCAACACUAUGCAGUAAAAAAAAUUCAUCAGCAUUGUGAAUGAUGUUGUAGCAAGUACUUCUAUAAACGUUUAUGUUAAAAGUGUUGUAAAAUAACUGGGAUAUGUGCGAAUAUUGAGUUGCACGUAAAGUAGAUGAGACACAGUAUUUAACGAAGUUCGGCUAUGCCUACGUCCCCGGAGAGCAGCAGUAGUAACUUUUCCACUAUGUAAAAUAAUAGGGCUACAACUUUAGUGUUUACAAUAAGUAUGGCUCACUCAAUUUUCUCUCUUGGAGAAUUUCUCUCUUGCUCUCUUUCCUCUCAACUCACUCACCCUCUUUCUUCCUUCUCUUCCUUUCUUUCUUUCCUCACUCAUUCUUUUCUUCAUUUUUGGUGUGUCUUACAAGUGAAUGAGCAAGCCUAUUUAUAGGCAAAGUAAAAGGCUUCUAAUGGAGACAUAAUGAUUUCUCCCCAACAUUAUAAUUUCAUCUUUUGACUAAUCAUCCCACUUCUAACACCAUCAUUUCUUCUUUUGACUACCAUACUCAACACCAUCAUUUUUCUUCCAUCAUUUCUCUUUAUGUGGGCUUCACCAAUAUUAUUUACAACAAAAAGCACAUUUUUUUUAAAUAUUAAAAAUCCAAACACAUGGUAGGUACUUCUUCGAAUGUACCAAAAACUACUUUUAAAGCAUUUCCAGACAAACUUUAAAUGUGUUUCAUUUGGCUCCAUACAUUGUUCUUCCUCGUGGAGCCCUUUAAUGAAUAUAAUCAUCAUGUCAGCCGAGAAUAUAAUUAGGUUAAACGAAUGACAAUUUAAUUUGCUAAAUUCUGAUUCCAAUAGAUAAGGAAUCUUAUUUGAUUUAACCCGUGUAAUAAGUUCCUUUUCUUUUGCCUUUCCAUAUUCCUCACGAAUAAUAUAAAGAAAUGAUUGAUUUGAUUUUUAUCAGAAAGAAUCAACAUAGCCAACAUAGUCAUAAACAAUAAAGCGAGAGUCAAUAAUUUGUUUGUAAAAUGAUGUGACAAUAUAUCACCUAAUGGGAAUAAGUGAGUCAAAAAGUGAAUGACGUAAAUAAUUGGGUGAAUAAAUAUGGUGUCCAAAUGGUUAAAAAGAAAAACAAAAUGUUGUCCUUGUAGUGCUCUAAAACAGAUUGUGGAAGAUGAGGUAAACGAACAUCAGUCCUUUCUUCUUUUUAAAUUUCUUUGCACAAAUUUGAGCACCGAACAGGCAAAAUUCCAUGGUAAUGACAAAACAAAUAUGGUUGCUUCUGGCAAGGGAAAGGAACAAUUAAACAAAGCAUAUACCUUCCUGAUCAAUCUUUCUGCUCUCCACACAUCUGCAGCUACGUGCCAUCCAUGCAUCCAAAAUUCCAUUUCACAAAUUGGCGAGAAAAUCAUUUAGAACACACACGUUUGUGAAACAUUUGACUCUCUCUCUCUCUCUCUCUCUCUCUCUCUCUCUCUCUCUCUCUCUCUCUUUCUAACUUGUCAAUUUUCAACAUAAUUCAUCAUUGCUAGAAAUAAUCUUAGUACAUAUAGAAUCAAGCAGAACUCAGAUGUUUCAUAAUAUGAAAACUUCAACAAAUUUAUAGAGCUGCUUUGAUCUCUUAGAAUUGCCAGAAUAGCUCUCAGAUGAUUCAUAAUCAAGCAGAACAUGUAUUGAAGUACAGCCCCAAAUCAGCAAUCGUCAAUCCAGUCACUUCCAGCCCCGUCCAGACUGAAGAGUUCUCAAUUCUGCCUAUUCAGCAAGCCUCUGAAUGGCUAAAAUAGAUUAAAGCUCUGCCAAUCUCAACAUUUGUAUCGAUUUCCCGCUGAACCUCAUCAGUUGAAGGUGCUGACAUUUGAAUCCAGCACAGAUAUAUCCAGUCCAGCCAUAAUCACUGACAACAAUCCAAGAAGAAAUCGAAGCCCAAUGUUCUGAUGUCCUUUCAGACAUAACAGUUCCCUUUUGUUUUGAAUUGUGCAAUAGGCAGUUCUCUUUAAAACAGUUUGAUUUAUUUUCAAUAUUCAUUUUGGCAAGAACUACUAGUUUUUACUAUGAGAAAUUGUGAAGUUCUCACCAGUCUAAGGCAAAAAAAGAACUUACUUGUGAGAUAUUCCUCACCCAAAUUCACAAUCACUUGUUUAAAGUCAGUAACUUGGGGCGCAAGUUAUCUAUUUUUCACAAGUCUGUUAGGGUCUUGACUGCUAACAAUGGCAUGCUCGCACACCAAAGAAAGUUGACUUGUUGACCACAAAGAAUUUUCGAGCAAAUGAGAAAUUUUACCCUACCAUCACAAGAACUAAAUCAAAGCGGCUGAACAAAUACCCUUCAACUUUCUCUCAAACUCUAUCCCUUUUUAAUCAAUUGUUUUUGGGCAUGUUAGCAUUUUUGCUCUCCUAUUUAAGUUACUAUCCUAACCUUUUAUUUCAAUUGUUAUUUGUUAAUUAUUUAAUUUUAUUUAAUCUUUCAAAUGUCACAAAGAAACUUGGGGCAUUUGCAUUUCCAUCCUUUGAUCAAAUGAGUUUUCUGACUAACCCUAGGUGUUAGAUUAGCUUUCCGUGGAUUAUGUACAUUAUUAUUAUUAUCCACAUACAUACAAUGUGCCUACAAUCAACCUAAGAAUUUGCCUGUGAUGCAUGUAACUGCAUCCGAGCCCACUUUGCAUUGCUUCACCUUCCAUCACCGUAGAAUAGUUGAUCACUCCGUCAUUUGUGUCACAAUCAUUUGAAGAAGUCAAAACCAACACAAUCAAUAUAAGUUUACGACCGCGAAAUGAAAUGCCUUGCAAUGCACACAUUCGAAUGGAAGUGAUUGUUCUUGAUUUCUCGACCUAAUCGUCAUGUCAGCAAAGAAUAUAGUUAGACUAAACGAAUUGACAAUUUAAUUUUCUAAAUUUCGAUUCCAAUAGAUGAGAAAUCCUUGAUUGAACCUGUAUAAUAAGUUCCUUUUCUUUUAUCUUUCCAUAUUCCUCACGAAUAAUAUUAAAAAAUGAUUAAUUUGAUUUUUAUCAGAAAGAAUCAACAUAGUAAUAUAGCCAUAAACUAUAAAGCUAGAGUCAAUAAUUUAUUUGUCAAACGGUAUCACUUAAUGGGAAUAAGUGAGUCAAAAAGUGAGCCAAAUGGAUAAAAAGAAAAACAAAAUGUUGUCCUUGUAGUGCUCUAAAACAGAAUGUGGAAGAUGAGGUAAACGAACAUCAGUCCUUUCUUCUUUUUAAAUUUCUUUGCACAAAUUUGAGCACCGAACAGGUAAAAUUCCAUGGAAACCAUAAUGACAAAACAUAUAUGGUUGCGUCCGGCAAGUAAAUGGACAAUUGAACAAAGCAUACCUUCCUGAUCAAUCUUUCUGCUCUCCACACAUCUGCAGCUACGUGCCACCCAUGCAUCCAAAAUUCCAUUUCACAAAUUGGAGAGAAAAUCAUUUAGAACACAAACGUUUGGGAAACAUUUGAUUCUCUCUCUCUCUCUCUCUCUCUCUCUCUCUCUCUCUCUCUCUCUCUCUCCCACUAACUUGUCAAUUUUCAAAAAAAUUCAUCAUUGCUAGAAAUAAUCUUAGUACAGAUAGGGAUACGACAACAGCUAGCUGCAUGUGAAUCACACAUGAACUAGGGUUUUAUGUGGCUCAGAUCUUGACAGCAUACAAGUUUCCCGCGUUUUACAUAUAUGCUUUCUUGGUCCACCAUGAUCCUUAUUUUAUUUUCAAUUCAUUACCCAAUUAAUAAUACUUUUCAACUUAUUGUGAUUCUCAUAAUCUGCAUUAUUCUUAAUAAAUUAUUUUGUUUUCUGAUUAUUAUACAGUAUUACCCGAGUCAACUAAAAAGCUGAAACGAUCUGGAGAGAAUUAUUUUCGAAAAUAACUUUUCUAUAAUAAUUUUUCCGAAUCUAGUCCAAUAAUAUUAAGAACAAAAACUAGUUGCUAAUUGGCAUAACUCUCCUAGAGAGAUUAAGAAUAUCUAGCAAACUCAACUAAGUUUCUGGAAUCAUAAGAGAAAAGAAGAAAAAGAAAAAAAAAAAAGAAAAGAAGAAGAAAACUCAUAGAGUUUAUGUGCUAACAAAAUUAAUCAAAAUAAAAAACUAAAACAACGCCAAUAAAAGGAAAAUCAACUGCUACUAAUCUUCCUUCGAGACAUGACAUAGACAACACCACUUAGUUACUUUAGGGCCUCAACGCAAUAAUGAGCAGUGGAUCUACCAUGACCAAGCCGCAACACCUCAAAUAGCAGCCUCGCAAAAUAAGGCAUAGCCAAAAUCUAGAUAUGAAAUAAUAGAUCUGCUAAAGAAAAAGUAGAUUGACAUAAGUUCACCAAGAGCCGAAGAACACCGAAAAUCCAAAGAGAUCAGAAAAUCAGAAAAUCUCUCUCUUUUAGCGGCUAGGGUUUCUCUUCACACUAUGAUAUUAAUAAAUAUUGGUAUUGGUGAGAUUCUAUAUAUAUAUAUAUAUAUAUAUAUACACACAUCUGUAAAAUCCUAUUAUUAAUAUGAACGAUCCAUUUAAUUCUUCAAGGGAGAUUCCAUAUUGACCCGCAAGAUUUGCAUAGCAGGUUGAAUCUGUUGAAUUAAUGGGUCACAACAAAACCAACCAAUAAACUAGUUUAUCUAAGACAAAGAUGGAUCACCACCAGAAAUCAUUAGAAAACUAUCAAUGUUAAACAAGUAUUUGAUUCAACGAAGCAGGUCACCAUGACUCAGCCCGUGCUCUCCUACCAUUUUCAACUGGAUCCAACUUUCAAUUUUGUCGAAUAUUGAAUAGUCCUUUCACAAUUCAAAGAUCUAAUUGGGGCAUUGGUGUUAACUCAGCCUCCUCUCUUUUCUUGCUCCAUUCCCAAGAAGGGGAGGGAAACUAAAAAGGGCAUCAACAACACGACACCACUACCCAAACUAAAAAUGUUAAUGGUUUUCAGUAGCAUCAUACUGAAGUUUGCAAAUAAAAAAAUAAAAUAAAAAAAAUAAGGGCAGAACCCCACUUUAUCAUUUCAAAAUUCAAAUGUCAAUAUUCAUCAAAGUGUUGUAAAGAAGAAUAAGUAAAGAAGAAUAGGUGAAGCCCACAUAGCCAACUAACACCCACCAAACCUAACCACACACCCACCAAACCAAACCACUACCCAAUUGAUUGAAGAAUAUUAAUGAUGUUGUUGAUUGAAGAAUAUUAAUGAUGUUGUUGAUUGAAGAAUAUUAAUGAUGUUGUCUACCAAUUAUAUUGUGAGGUGAACAACCAAUGUCUUAGGCCUAUAAAUAGAUACCUCUAUCAAGAGAAGUUUACACAUAUAGAAGAGGAAGAGAAGGAAGAAUAAGGGUGAGUGAGUUGAGAGGAAAGAGAGCAAGAGAGAAAUUCUCCAAGAGAGAAAAUUGAGUGAGCCAUACAUAUUGUAAACACAAAGUUGUAGCCCUAUUAUUUUACAUAGUGGAAAAGUUACUGCUGCUGCUCUUCGGGGAUGUAGGCAUAGCCGAACCUCGUUAAAUACUGUGUCUCAUCUACUUUACGUGCAGCUCAAUAUUCGCACAUAUACCAGUUCAUUUUAUAACACAAAGAUGGUAUUUCGCUUGAAUAUAGAUGGACUUUAUGGGUUGGGUUAGUGGCUUGCUACUUUGAUUUUUGUAUUUUGUUCAGUGAAUUUAAUUAAAAUAAUUUGGUGUGAGAAUUUAUAAGCUAAAAGUUUUGAGGUUUAUCUAUCUUCGAUCUCAUGAUCAGGGACAGACUCAGGGUUUGAAAAUAGAAUAGGCUAAAUUUAUCUUACAUACAAACCUAAAACACUUGACGGAACUAGUGAAUUUCAUUGAAGUAUGAAUUUUAAGGUCAAUUAGCAAUUACACAAUAAACUUCUCCAUGAAAGGAACAUAAUUGAAAAUAUUUAUUAUCCAUUACAAAAGAAGAAGAAAAAAAAAACUGAACCAUUUUAAUCCAUCAAAGCCAACUUGGAAAGUAAAAAUGAGAAGAAGCAGCCAAAAUUUAUAAGAAAAAAAUGAAUUGACGUUUUAUGUACACUAUAAAAGGUAAAAAAAAAAAAAAUUUGGACAGAAAAUGUAAAGGAUGUUCUCUCGGAAUGUGUGUUUUCUGAAAAAGGCUGAGUAAUAAAUAUUAAUUAACUAAAGAAAAAAGAAGAAGAGAUUUUCUAUGGGUGGGAUCACUGGGAUGAGGUGUAUGGAGGUGUGCUUUGAUGGCUUAGUGUAUUGGACUAUAAAAUAUCAAGUCGCCCAAGUGGAUGUAGGACCAUCCCUGCUCAUGAUUCGAGCCUUUUUUAGGUUGAUGUAGCGUGGUUAGAGUAUCCACAGUGUUGGGGGGGAUGUAUUUUCGGGGGUGUAAAACUACUUUUACAUCCCCUUUACACCUCUGGGGGUUGUAAAUAUGGUUUUUGCUCUAAUGAGGAAGAUGUAAAUCUAAAGAUGUAUAAUUGAAUUUUUUUUUUUUUUGGUCUUAAUUCGUUUUUGUGUUAAAAUUUUAUUUUGUGUUAACUUUAUACAUAAUUUUGUGUGUAUUAGGUUUAUUUUAUUUUUUUCAAAUAAAUAGACCUAAAAAUAUUUAAAUUUGGAGAAGAUAUGAUUUCAUCCAUAGAAAAAUUAUCAGAAGAACAAGCUACUAAAUAUAUAUAUAUUACCUAUUGAUUAAUUGAUUAAUUAUGAGUUUCACUGUAGAAGCGUAAUCAGCAACAAUGAAUUAUUUUAUUUUAUGUGGUUACAAAUUAAGUAUGAAGUUUUGUCUAGCAACUACUCUAGCCACGCGUCUUGGGCAAGUAUCUUUAUAUUCUGCCUUUUUGCUCACUUUUGUCUAUCUUUUUUCAUAUUUUUUCAUGUAGGCCCCAUCUGUAAGGGAUGUAAAAAAGGAUGCACAUGUGCAUAUAAAUUUGUAUCUCACGGAUGUUAUGCAUUUUUACAAUCAUUUACACCUGCCCAUUACAGGUGAUUUCGAUCAUAAAUGGUAUAUAUUUAACAUAUACCUCAUUAUACAACCCCUCACUAGAGAUGCUCUUAAUAAUUGUAUUAAGAAAGAUGAGUGUCUAAUAAAACUCACCACGUACUUAUCAAGAUAGGUGGAAGACCAUCCUAAAUAGGGGCAUGAAGAAGAUCUUCUCCAGUUUUCUUAAUUAUGAACAAAACUUUCUUAAAAGGGCGAGAAAAUAAAGAAGUGAACCAAGUGGAAAUGCAUGCAUGUACUGUUUACAAGGUGGCCAAAAAAAAGGAUAGACUAAGGUGGGCGGUUGGAUAAGCACUGGGCAGGCAAUUUAUGUUCAUAGUGGUCAAUGUGGAUAACUGGCUAACUGAUAAGUGUUUACUACUGUUAAUUGUCUCGAAUGGAGGAGAAAGAGAGGAGGGCCUUUUGGAUUGUGUAUUUGGACAAUUUCAAAAAGGGGUUAACGACCAAUAUUAUGACUUCAGAUUUUGCCUCUAUUACUUUACUUGUUCAUACAACACAUGUGCGGCGCCUAAUAUUAUGACUUCUGAUUUUGCCUCAUCUAAAUCUUGGGGCCAAUAUUCUCUAAGAUGACUCACGAGCUCUUUUUUUUUUCUUUGUUCUUUUAAGUAUUGGAGGACUACGUGUGAUUCAAAUUUGGGUCCUCUAAAUUUUAUGAUAAGCUCAUUUCUCAUGAUACAUCUAAUAAAGGACUAACUAACUAUAUAUAUAGUAACAGGUUUAGGAGUGAUUUUGGAAUGCCCUUUAUUUUAAUAAAAAACGCUUUUGAUAACGUUUGAUAGAAAUAUUUAAAAGUACCUAUAGGUCAUAGCACCUACUUCACAUAGCAGAUGUUGCUCUAGAAAGUACUUGGAUUUCUUAUAAAUUUUUUAAAAUAAAAGUGAAUAUGAGUAGAAGUGCUUCUUAAAAUAACAGUUUCAAACUGAUCCUAAAACAUGUUGUCAAAGAAUGAAGAGCCUUGCCAUUCAUGCUAAAAAAUUUACUCACUAUACUCGACGAAGAUGUAUGAGAUGAGGACAACAAUGAUAAUUUUAUUUUUGACAUUUUUGAAAUUUUUUUAAUACUACUUGUGAAGUUUUCAGAAACAUCAAUGAAAGGGUCAAAAUUGAAAAGCUGGGAAAAUUUUCAGAUGCUAUGCUAGGGUGUAGUGAUCAAAUUUGUCCAGCUCAAGACUGGAACGACAGCAAACUUAUCCCAUACAUAUAAAUACAGUUCAGCCCAAUCUCGUCAAGGCCAUUAUCAACCUUAUGGGCUUCAACUAAAACUACCCAUUAGGAUUUUGAUCAGAGCAAAAGUCCAAGAACAAAUAUGUCUCCGUGAAGUCUUACUGAGGGCAGGAUUCAGAAGCUGUACAUGUAAACAAGACGACGACAAUGGAGAAGAGAGCACGGAGGCAAUUGGAUUGUAUUUCUCGUCACCUUGUAUUACCACCUCAAGCUAAUCAUGGUCUGCAGCAGGUGAGAUUGAUUCAUCCACAAUCUUUUUCCAUUUUUCUUCUUUUAUUUUUUGUUGGGUUAUCUUUUGCACUAUGCACUGAGAAGCUUGGUGGAAAAGGAAAAGAUGUUGUAUUUGAUGAAGUUUGAGUUUUUAACUACUGCAAGGUGCUGUUAUUAAGUAAUGGGCAAGUGAAGAGUGAGGAGGCAGAGCCUGUGGUGCUGUUAUUACUGCUUUCCAGCCUCCACAACCACAAGUGCCAUGCUUGAGCAUCGUGUUGGCUUGUCUCCACCUAUGGUAUUUACCGAAAAAAGAGCUCCAUUUCUUCUAGGGUUUUGCCCUGUGUUUCGGGGAGCAUUGUAUAGAAAAAGACUCAACUCGAUGCUCCAAUUCCCGCUUAACGAAAGAAGGCCCCACCAAUCGUGAUGACAAACAUACAACAGUCGUAUUGUACAUGUACGUAUGUAUUUUUAAUAUUUUAUACACGUAAUUUUUUCAAAAUUUUCAGUAAGACACACAAAAUUUCCGUAUUAUACAAAUAAUUCUCACAUAUUAUUGAAUAAGAAUAAUUUAUGUUAUAAAAAUUAUAUUAAAAUAUCAUAUAGUGAAAGAUUAAUAUCUACUUUGGAUAUGUUGAAACUAGCAAAUUAAUAUUUAUAAGGUACAAACUAAUGCAUCUAGGAGGGUCCUUUUUUAUUGUUUAUUUAUUUUUAUUAAAUAGUAUAGGCGGCGGCUACAUUGUUUUUGACACGUGGUGCCUAAUAGAUAGAGGGUCUUCUUUUUUUUAAAAUAAAAAAUUUGGUAUAAGUCCAAAAUCGAAAAUAGAAUUUGGAUGUCAUCCUCGUAGUUAUUGUUGUUGAUACAAGUCAUUUGACUUUUGUGCCACGUAUGAUUACAUUCUUUUUUUAUUUUUUGAUAUUUACAAAUUAUUUUUUUCAUUUUAAAGUUACUUAAUUAUUCCCAUCAUGCCCCUAAAAAUUAAAUAAGGUAAUUAACUUUUAUGAUAAUAAUUAUGAUAUUGUCUCCCCUAAACCAAUUCGGACUCUCUCACAGCCACAAUCUUUGCAACUUUCACCAACAAGUCAGUGGAGCCAAAUUCUUUUCCCAUUUAGCCCUCCAACUUCUCCAAGAAGUCAGCUAUCGUGAGUUUCAUUCGAAAUCAAAAUCCUUGUUUGAUUGAUUUUCUAAUUGGGUAUUUAUCAAGUUGCUUAUAAUUUGCAAGGUGAGGUAUGCAAAGCGAUAAGGUUGGAUAUUAGGUCUUUGUGGUUGUAAUUCUUUUGGGUUGAAUGGCUUACAAGCAGGGGCUUCUAUUCGAUUGGCAAAAGGUGAUAAGGUUGAGUGGGAUGUUUGAAAAGGCUUACACCAGAUACUAAAAUUCCAUGUAUGUUGGUUGUUUGUGAUCUGUCUUUAAUUACCUAGUAUUAAGGUAUAUUAUCUUAUAUUUACCUAGUAAGUAGGUACAUUAUCUUAUACCUAUCUAAUAAUUAGGUAUAUUAUCUUAUAUUUACCUAGUAAUGAGGUACAUUAUCUUAUAUUUACCUAAUGUUUAGGUAUAUUAUCUUAUAUUUACCUAGUAAUUAGGGAUAUCUUAUAUUUACCUAGUAAUGAGGUAAAUAUUUGUUGGGAAGACAUCAUCAAUAAUACUCCUACUUUCAUUGUUUUAUAUGAACUUUUUUUUAUUUGUUCAUAUGCUUGAAUCCUCACAAAUCAACCUUAUGGAUAGGUACAAUUUCAUGUUGGUGCUUGCCUAUGGGUCUUAAUUUUCAUUGUAAGAUAAAAUAUAUGGGUCAUUAUUUUCAUGACUUAAAUUAUAUUUGAUCUAUAUAUUAGGUAAAUAUUGCAAUAGUUAAUUGUUAAAGUAUUUUACUUGACGAAAUGUUUUUUCUGUUGGUACAGAUGUGUAAUGGUGGCAAUAGAAGGAUUCAAAAUUUAAAAUAUGAAAUCCAUUUAGAAGGAAAGAAUCAAUACAUUAAUUUGGAUUUUUAAUUAAUGUUCUUUUCUUAUUUACCUCAAAAGGUAAAAUUGACACAAGAAAAAAAUUAAUAAAAGUCAAUGGACCCAAAUCUACAGCCAAAAAAGGUGUGGACUAAAUCCUAUUACGGCUAGAGAUUUUGGACUUAGAUCGAAGAAUCCCUUUUUUAAAAAACAAAAAAAUAGUAUAGCCGCACGGCUAUACUCCAUUUUUUAAAUUUAUUUACAAAAAAAAAUAGACUUGUGUUGACACAUGGCACCUAAUCGACGGGAUCUUCUUUUAUAUUUCCCUUUUAUAGUAUAGCCGCACGGCUAUCCUAUUUUACAUGUGGACGCCUUGGCGCUGGGCAUCUGCUAUACUCCAAUUUUUAAUUUUUUUAGUAAAUAGUAUAGCCGAACGGCUAGACUUCAUUUUUUAAUUUUUUUAAAAAAUAGUAUAGCCGCGCGGCGGUAUUGUUUUAAAAAUAAAAUUUGUCUUUAAUAAAUAGUAUAAACCAACGGCUAUAGUCUUUUAUAUAUAUGUACUUAUGUAUUUUUCAAUAAUAUAUUGGUGUUCUAUACAUGUCUCAUGUUUUUUGAAAAGCAAACAUACAAUAGUCAUAUUGUACAUGGAGUACGCACGGUAUACUCAAUGUUUUUUAAAUUUAUUUACAAAAAAAAUAGACUUGUGUUGACACAUGGCACCUAAUCGAUGGGAUCUUCUUUUAUAUUUCCCUUUUAUAGUAUAGCCGCACGGCUAUACUAUUUUACAUGUGGACGCCUUGGCGCUGGGCAUCUGCUAUGCUCCAUUUUUUAUUUUUUUUAGUAAAUAGUAUAGCCGAACGGCUAGACUUCAUUUUUAAUUUUUUUUUGAAAAACAGUAUAGCCGAGCGGCUGUACUGUUUUAAAAAUAAAAUUUGUCUUUAAUAAAUAGUAUAAACCAGCGGCUAUAGUCUUUUAUAUAUAUGUACUUACGUAUUUUUCAAUUAUAUAUUGGUGUUCUAUACAUGUCUCAUGUUUUUUGAAGAGCAAACAUACAAUAGUCAUAUUGUACAUGUACGUACGUAUUUCUAAUGUUUUAUAGACCUAAUUUUUAAAAAUUUUCAAUAAGACACACAAAAUUCACGUAUUAUAUAAAUAAUUCUAACAUAUUACUGAAUAAGAAUAACAUAUGUUGUAAAAAUGAUAUUAAAAUAUCAUAUAGUGAAAGAUUAAUAUCUACUUUGGAUAUGUUGAAACUAGCAAAUUAAUAUAUAUAAGGUACAAACUAAUGCAACUAGGAGGGUCCUUUUUUAAUUUUUUUUUUGAAUAACAAAAGCUUUGUUAUGUAUAUUAUCUUUCUUUUUAAGGAGGGGGGAGGAGUGAGGGGGUUGUGGCCAUGUGAACAGUUCAAACUUUAUGUUCAUUAAAAAAAAAAAAAAAAAAAAAACCAUGUUAUGACUGGAAAAUGUUGAUCGAUCAUGUUCAUUAGUACCAAGUUUGGUGAUGGCCUGAAAUGUUUUCACUAGGUAAUUUAUUUCAUAUAAAUAUCUUUGGAUGAAAGUUACUCAAGUAACUUUGGUCUUAGAUUUCUUAAACUAGUUUGCAGAUAAAUUUUAAUUUGAGUAGGUCAGACUUUUGGUUUUUUUUCACCAUAAUUCUUUUGUGUUCUGGUUUGUCAGGUAAUCUCCAAGACUUUGAUAUUGACAUUGACUUGAGUGUAACCUUGUGCACUUGAUAUCAUUGUUGUCACUUACAUGCAAAUCAUGCGAGCUUCCUCUUUUCCUUGCAUGCAACUCAAAAAUGGAUUUACAAAUGAGGUUUGCAGGUAUCAGUUUCGUUGUACUAUAAAUCCCCCUUAGAAGCUUUUCUUAACGUACGUCAUGCUGCGAUUGCCUGGCUCAAAACUUGGGUUCAACAAAUCUUUUACCGUUGCCGAAGGUUAAGGAGGAUAAAUCUUGCGUACAAUUCAUUUUUCACAUUGAAUCUCUGGCAUGACUAGCAUGGAACCAGCCUUUACUAGAAUUUCUCUAGCAUCAAGUCUCUUCCUCUUUUAAAUUAAAGCAAUUCUCUUUCAAAACCUUGUGCCUUGGUUGAAUUUGAAUUUCUGUUGUGAUGCUCUCACCUUGGAAACUCAAUGAGAUCCUGCAAUGGGCAGAUCAUAGUUCUCCUGAAGUAGGGUUUAUUAGCCAUAACUCUAUGGUUGAUCAAAAUGAUCAUCACACCCAGCAAAAACCAGAAAAUGGUUAACACACCCAUGCUAUGACAGCUACUAUGCUCCAACGGUCACAUAGGCAUAUUCAGCACAAGGACAAGCAUAUUCCUUGUUCUUAUCUGCUGAGUCAUCCUCAGGGGUCCUUGCCCUAGGGUUUUCUAUAUAGUCUCUUGUGUAUAUAUACACACCUUUUACCUCAAUUGUAAAUGUGAAGAGCCGCAGUCUUUCAUUGUCUGCUACAUUGAUUGUAACCCAUUAUCAAUAUUAAUAGAGUUAUAGACAUUGCUUUUCUCAACACCUACAGACCUUUUUCUUUCUCAGUAUGAAUUUUAUCAGGGUUUACGUCUUCCGUCUAUCUAACUUGCCUCAUUCCAAGCGCACCAAACAGAAUUGAACCUGCAACUCCACCUCACUUUGACCAGCUUACUACAAUAUGAAAAAGGACGCAUUUCUAGUAAGUUAUUAGUUACUUCUUUUUAGUUUCCGAUUCUAAUUAGGAAUUGAUUUACUUUCCUGAUUUUGGUUUAAUUUUACUUUAAAUCAUGGCUCUGCUCAUGUCAGAUAGAGCGAGGAAGGAGCAAUCACUAGUACGAUUUACUAUUUGCGCGACGAAAGUUUGCGCGACGAAUAUGUUUUCGUCGCGCAAACAACACUAUUGCGACGAAAAAAAAUUUGCGUCGCGCAAACAACAGAAAAAUAGCGCGACAAAAAUAUUCGUCGCUCAAACAAUCUAUGCGCGACCUAAAUUAAUUUCGUCGCGCAAAGGUAAUAGAAAAAAACCCGGGUUUUUUGGUUGGCGCCAAAAGCUUGCGCGACGACAAAAAUCGUCGCGCAUGAUAAUAUUGCGCGACAAAUACAAGCUUCGUCGCGUAAAGAUGGACAGAAAAUUGGCUCCUUUUUUUUGGCGGUAAAAAAAUUUGCGCGACGAGAGUUUUCGUCUCAAAAGACAACUUAGCGCGACGAAAAAAUGUACCGUCGCGUAAGAAAACGAGGGAUACUUUUUUUUGGCGCCAAAAUGAAGGGCGGAUAAAAUUUUGUUUGCGCGACGGAUUUUCUUCGUCGCGAAAAGUUUAAUGCCGGUGAGUUCUUGCGCGACGGAAUUUUAACCUUGCGCGACGAAAGAUAUAAUUUGCGCGACGAAUGUUUGUGCGACGAAUAGUAUUCUUCGUCGCGCAAAAAAACAGAUGUCGGCACGUAUUUGCGCGACGGAAAUGUUAUUUUGUGCGACGAAAAAGUGUCCUUUUGCGACGGCAGUUUGCGCGACGAAUUCAAUUAUUCGUCGUGCAAAGUCCUUCUUCUUCAUAUUAGUAUCUGCCAUUGCAGAGGCAGAAUGCAGAAAUUGCAUUCUGCCUCUCUCUCCUCUCUCUCACUCCUCCUGCCGCUGUUCUGCUGUCAAUUCAGUACGUUCAUUGGGUAUGUAUUUUUUGUCGUUAGUUUAAAUGUAUUAAUGUAAAUUCGUACUAACGCUAUUAAUUUUGUUCUCGUUAGGGAUAUCUGUGAUUAGUGGAGAACAAUUGAGAAGGUAUGUUAUUGUAAAAGUUUGUUUGUUAUGUUUGUAAUUUUUUUGUGAAGUUAUAUGUGUAUAAUGUUGUGAAAUUAUGCGUGACGUAGCACAAUGUAUUUGUGAUGUACGAAGUUAAUUGAAAUUAACUUCGUACUUUUAUUUUUAUGUUUAGUAACACGUAGUUUCCCGUUCGAGAUUAGUUGAAUUUCGUGCAUGGAUGCGUAAGGCAUGACUGCGGUCCAAUUAAUUCUUGAAUUGUCCCAUUAUUUGGACAGUUUGGUAAUGCAUAGUGUUGUCACAUAAUCUUCGGCUACAGGAUUAGGUUUCGAUUGUGGAGAUUUCGGUGUCAUCUCGGUACGUUCUUCGGGUGGUACGUAGGUAUUUAUACCUAUGCCCACUUCAAGAACUGUGUCGAGAUGCUGUCGAAAUUAAUCCACGUCGAAAUCUAAUCUCAUGUAGCCGUAGGUUACGUGACAGGACUAUGCAUUCCCGAAUGGGAUAGGGCCCUUACCGGAGGCAUAAGGUGACAUUAUAACUUCGUAUGAAGUUGUUGUGAUUGUUGUGUCGUGAUUGUGGUUUCAGGAAUUAUGAGCAGAAGGUGGAUACAGAACCCGAAUAGAUGCGCAGACGAAUACUUGGAUGGAAUCGAGGAUUUUAUUGAGUUUGCACGUAGACACAACCCGGGUGCAACUAGAAUCCGUUGCCCUUGUAGGAGGUGUAACAACACGUUGUGGGAGACAAUUGAAAAUGUUGGAUUUCAUUUAGUAAGGAAUGGAAUGAUUGAAACAUAUAGCAUUUGGAAUCUUCACGGCGAACAAGUAGACCAUGCUUCGUCUUCAAAUGCCCCAAGAGUGGACAAUGUUGAACCUAUUGUGGAUCCUAAUGAUCAAGUCAUGGGUAUUAUACAGGAUGCUUUUUCAUUCGCAUCGACCAACAUCAAUCAGGAAGGGGAAGAUGACAUGCCUACACCAAUAGACAGUGCGGAGUUUGAACAGUAUGAAAAACUGUUAAAAAAUGCCAACCAAGAGUUAUACCCGGGGUGCGAGAGCUUUUCCGUUCUCACUGCCAUUGUGGAGCAAAUGCACGGAAAAAUAAAGUAUCGUAUGUCGAACUUGUGUUUCGAUUACUUUUUGGGGGUUUUCAAGAGAAUGCUUCCGACGGACAAUUGUUUGCCGAAAGAUCAUAAACAUGCACAGAAGGUGUUGCAUGGUCUUGGAUUGGGUUAUGAAAAAAUCCACGCUUGCAAAAACAAUUGCAUGUUAUUCUACAAAGAGCAUGAAACGUUGGAUACAUGCCCUAUAUGCAAUGAGUCGAGGUUCAAAAUGACAUCCCAGAAUAGAACGACUAAGAUACCACAAAAAGUCAUGCGUUAUCUGCCCCUUAAACCUAGGUUGCAGCGAUUGUAUAUGUCGACGCAUACUGCCACAGACAUGAGAUGACAUAAGGAAAAACGGGUAGACGAUGAUGUGAUGCGGCAUCCUGCAGAUGGGGAGGCAUGGAAAGAGUUCGAUCGAACGUUCCCCGAGUUUGCUGCUGAUCCCCGAAAUGUUAGAUUGGGACUUGCCACUGACGGAUUCAAUCCGUAUGGGGUUCUAAACCAACACCACAGCACUUGGCCGAUUUUCGCAUUCCCAUAUAAUUUGCCGCCUUGGAAAUGCAUGAAAAAAGAAUACAUGAUGAUGACUGUUUUGAUAACUGAGGAUCCUGGCAGGUCAAUUGAUGUGUACUUAAGGCCUCUGGUUGAUGAGCUGAAGGAUUUAUGGACAAACGGUGUUCGCACGUACGAUAAAUCAACUGGGAGGAUGUUCACUUUACGAGCAGCAGUUAUGUGGAAUGUGAAUGAUUUUCCAGCAUAUGCAAUAGUUUCUGGGUGGAGCACAAAAGGUUAUAUGGCAUGUCCUGUAUGCAAGGAAGAUGUAACUUCUGGUUGGCACGCGGGAAAAGUUUGUUACCUUGGUCAUCGGAGAUGGUUGCCAUGGGACCACGAGUGGCGAGAAAAAGAUAAAGAGUUCGACGGGAACACAGAGCGUCGCCUCAGACCUAGAGAAUGGUCCGGUGAUGAGAUCUUGGAACAGCUGAACCGUUUGGAUUUUGCUCCGUUCGGGAAAACAGUUAGUCGGACCAGACCUUCUACACAUUUGAACUGGACGCACAAGCCUAUGUUUUUUGAGCUCCCAUAUUGGUCGAAACUGAAAUUGAGGCAUAAUCUAGAUGUGAUGCAUGUUGAGAAAAAUGUAUUCGACACAUUGGUGGGCACGAUUCUAGAUAUUGAUGGGAAGACGAAGGACACGAUCAAAGCUCGUCUUGAUUUGGAAAGAAUGGGCAUCCGAAGGGGUUUAUGGAUGAAUAGGGACAGUGAUAAAGCUAGAAGGGAUCUUGCAUUCUUCUCUAUGAAACCGAAUGACAAAAAAGAGUUUCUAAAGUUUGUAUCGUCUGUAAAGUUUUCUGAUGGGUAUGCUUCUAAUAUCGUCCGUUGCGUGAAUGUUGACGGGGGUAAAUUUACUGGACUUAAGAGCCAUGACUGCCAUGUGUUUAUGCAAUGCCUACUUCCUGUGGGUAUUCGACAUCUAUUGCCGGAAGAUGUUGUGAAGCCAAUCAUGUUGUUGUCCAGAUUUUUUUCCCAAUUGACGGCAAAAACAUUGCGAAAGACAGACAUAUUGCAGUUGCGCCAUGACAUUGUCCAAGUCCUAUGCAAGUUUGAGAUGAUAUUUCCUCCAGCUUUCUUCACAAGUAUGAUGCACGUGAUGGUUCACUUGCCAGAAGAGGCAUUGCUUGCUGGUCCUGUCAACUAUCGCUGGAUGUAUCCAAUAGAAAGGUAUAUAAUCCUUUUCGUUUGUGUAUGCAUCAUUAUCACAGGCUUGCUAAAUUGUAUCAUAUCUUUUUAUUUUGACAGGCUUCUCGGAGAGCUGAAAAAAAGUGUACGCAACAGGGCGAAGCCCGAAGGAUCAAUUAUAGAGGCUUGGGUUCAAUAUGAGUCGCUUAAUUUCUGUGGAAUGUAUUUAAAAGAUGUGGAGACGGCUUUCAAUCGUCCUCAGCGUAAUAACGACGGAGGUAUGAGAAAGGAAAAACUUUAUGUUUUUGCCCAAAGCGCACGGCCCUUUGGAGAUCCUGGACGAGGAGAGUCGUUUUCUACAAAUGACAUGGAAGUAGCGCAUUGGUUCGUACUGAACAAUUGUGAUGAGAUAAUGGCAUACUUAGAUGAGCAUGAAGAGAUGAUGAAGCGAGAACAUCCAUCACAUUUAGUUGCCCAGAAACAACGUGAAUUGUUUCCACAAUAGUUUUUGGAAUCUGUAAGUUAUAAGUUUUUUGUAUUUGACAAAUAUAAAUUUUAGUAUUUAAUUUUAUCAGACUAACAUGUGAAUGGUUUUGUAUUAUAUUAGGUGAAUAAGUUGAAAUCAUCGAAUUCCCCCACUUACAGUGAUGAGUUAUAUAACUUGGCCUUCGGCCCUAUUCGCGCUGAAUUGUUUUCGGGUUGUUAUAUUAACGGUGUUAAAUUUUUGGGGGCUGCACGAGAUGACAAGUUGUGUACGCAAAACAGCGGUGUCCAUGUCCCAGGUGGAGGCGAAAGUACGAACAUUGAUUUCUAUGGGAAACUCACAAAUGUCGUUCAAUUGCUUUACAAAGAUCGAUACCAAGUGAUCAUAUUUAAGUGUCGAUGGUUUGAUAGCAACCCAAAUAGGCCGGGAAGUGUUAAAAUCGACCAUGGCUUACUAUCUGUGAACAUUAACAGAACUUGGUAUGAUGACGACCCUUACAUUUUGGCGAACAUGGCAACACAAAUUGUGUAUCUAGAUGACCCUAAAGCCGGGAGCAGUUGGAAAGUUGUUCAGAAGAUGGAUCAUAGGAACGUGUAUGCUAUACCAGAAUUAGACGGGAACACUGAGAACGACGUCGACAAUGUGGCUGACCAACGUUUAGAAUCAUCAAUGGAAAAUGAUGCGGAUACACUUCGAGAUACACAUGUUAUACAAGAACCGUUUCAAAUUCAAGGAGUGUCUUCAAUCGAAAUACCGAUUCAGUCAAUUACAAUUGACCUCGGGGAUCUCCCAAGAUUCGAUGUUGCAGUGGGCCCGAGCAGCGAAGAUGAUGUAGUUAUAGCAGACGAGGAGGAGGAGGAUUGGGAGACCGAAAGUGAUGAUAGCGACGAUAACGAAAGUUAUUAUAGUUCAGAUGAUGAAUAAUUCAAUUUUUUAUAAUUUUAUUAUGUUUGUGUACAGACUUUGUGUAAUACAAAUGUUCUAAUAUAUGUAGUACAAAUAUCCAAAUCUUAUAUAUGUGGACAACUGAAACAUUAUUCAAAUACAUUUAGUUACAAAACAUUGGUAAAUUAAUCUAUCCAAACCCUUUUAAUAACAAUUUGUAAUUUUUUUUUUCACAACACACAUUUACAAAAUGAAAAUGAUACAAAAUUUGUUAUAAAACAUUGAUAAAUAAUUAUAUCCAAACAUUUUUAUACAAAGUUUGAAAAUUAUUGACAAUAAACAUUUUUCAAAUCUGAAAACCCAUGCGCGACGAAGAACGCAAUUUUUGCGCGACGAAGAAAUAUCGUCGUGCAUAAGUUUGCGCGACAAAGAUAAUUUAUUGCGCGACAAAGUGUCAUGCGUCACGCGAUGAACUUUUGCGCGACGUAAAACAUUUCUUCGUCGCGCAAAUAUUAUAUGAUUUUACAAUAUAUAUUAUAUAUACACAUAUAUAUUUGAAAUUGACGAUCGAGUUAGUUCAUUGUAUUCAUAUAGGGUCAUGGAGUGUAGGUGUAAAAAUUCGUAAAAAUCGGAGUUAAAAUAACCGUUAAAUAAUGAGUUUUCAUUUAUAACCGUUCAAAAGUUUUGACCCGCUACUUGAUCUCCGAAUGUUUUUUUUUUUUUUCCAAUUUUUGGGGUCUAAGAUCUUGAAGUACAAAUAAACAAGUUUGACGGUUCGAUUGCUGAAACUACUUUCGUAGAAUGCGUUUGCCAUAGCAAUCAUAUAUUCACGAACAAUGAAUCGUUUACUUAUACUUUCGUUAAAUAUAACAUAACAUUUUGUCGUAUCACCCUAGUGUAAACAUCUGAAAUUCAUGAUCAACUUCACUAAUUGUAUUCACAUAGGGUAAAGAAAAGUAGCAGUAAAAAAUCUUACAAAUUAGAGCUAAAUUAACCGUUAAAUCAUGACUUUUCAUUUACAACCGUCGAAAAGUUUCGUCCUGUUACUUGAUCUCUUAAUGUUUGUUUGUUUUGAUUUUCGGCAUAUACGAUCUUGAAGUAUAAAAAAACAAGUUUACCGGUCGGAUCAUGAAAACUAGUUUCGGGUGUAGGGUUUCUGUGGUUUAGGGUACAGGGUUUGCGCGACGAAAACACGUGUUAGUCGCGCAAAGCCUGGCCAGGACGGGAUUGCGCGACGGAAAACGUUAGGUUCGUCGCGCAAUAUCACCAGAACUUUCGCCUCCCACUCUUCCUCCCUCUGGACACUUAGUGAAAAUUUUGUGGGUGUUUUUGCGCGACGAUGUAACGUAAUUCGUCGCGCAAUACCCUAUUAAAAUUUCUUGCGCGACGUAACGUUUAUCACUGUGUCGCGCAAGAUUUCAAUAUCGCCCGCUAAACCCUAAAUCCCAAAUUUGGGCGGACUGCCAACAUUGCGCGACGAAUUGCUUAUUCUUGCGUCGCGCAAGGUUUCAAAAUCGCCCCGCUAAACCCUAAAUCCCAAAUUUGGGCGGACUGCCAACAUUGCGCGACGAAUAAGUUAUUCUUGCGUCGCGCAAGGUUUCAAUAUCGCCCGCUAAACCCUAAAUCCCAAAUUUGGGCGGACUGCCAACAUUGCGCGACGAAUUGCUUAUUCUUGCGUCGCGCAAGGUUUCAAAAUCGCCCCGCUAAACCUUAAAUCCCAAAUUUGGGCGGACUGCCAACAUUGCGCGACGCAAGAAUAAACUUGUAUUUCGUCGCGCAAAACCCAUUUAAACUUUCUUGCGCGACGUAUCUUUUAUCACUGCGUCGCGCAAGAUUUGAAUAUCGCCCGCUAAACCCUAAUUCCCAAAUUUAGGCGGACUGCCAACAUUGCGCGACGAAAUAAACAUGUUAUUCGUCGAGCAAAACCCAUUUAAAAUUUCUUGCGCAACGUGUUGAUAUAGUCGUCGCGCAAAAAUGAAUAAAAUUUCAGAAACCACGCGAUGGCCUCCUUCUUCCCCAGUUUUCACAAAACUUCAACGCCGCCGUCUCUCUCCCUCCGCCGCCGCUGCCGCCUACCUCGGUGGAUUUGGACCGCGCUCGCCUUUCAGCUGUUACCCCGGAGCUCCCCCCCCCCGUCACCGUCGAGCCAGCCGCCGCGAUUUCUUCGGUUGUCACAGAAUCGGCUCCGCCGUGAUUCUCCCUCCUCCGGCAACCAAUUCCGACACCUGAUGUAUGGUUUCUGUCCUAUUUUUCAUGCUUUAGCUGAUGGUUGGGUAGGAAUUGGUUGAUUGUUGCUCUAGGCCGCUUAAUUUGAAACCCUAAGUUUCGGCCGGAUUUUGAAUUUCAAUUCCGGCCACUUCCGGCCAUUUUUCGGGCUAUGUCCGAGAACAAAAGUGGCCCGAAAUGAUGUAUUCAACCUAGGGUAGGAACCUUGGCCCUUAGUUUUACGAAUUUUCCGGCGAUUGGUAUCGCUUUGGGGCAGCGCGUGGGGCGGCGCGUGGGGUACUGUAGCGGCCUGAAUCAGGUCCCAGUGCAAUCGUUUGGUUGUCACGAGCGCAUAGGUGUUUUCGGAUUGGAAUUUGGUUGCUGUUUGCGUCUCGAACGGAUUUUGCCUAUUGUGCGAUUUCCGGGGUUGUUAUGUUCGGACCGUUGGAUCGAACUCAAACUCACGUAUGGUGUAGGUUGUAUUUGUUGGAUCGUCUACGAUUCGACGGAUCGUGGAUCGGAGUCCCGGAUACUCCAAACUCGCAAACCCUAGGUCCAUAAUCUGAAUUGUAUCAUAUCAAUAUCGGAUAUUCGUAUAUUUUAUUAAUUCGUUUCUGUAUUUAUGAAAUUGUGCAGAUGUCAGACCUGAUUACACGUCGUAGGGCGGUGACGACCACGCAGAGUUCGGGGCCCCCGACUCAGCCGACAUCUGCUGCCACUGCACCAGCAUUGAUGGAGCACUUGGCAGUUGGACCUGCGGGGUCCCAGGCGCCUGCCUCAUCAGCGUCAUCAGUGGCGCAGCCUGUUAGCGCCAGGCGGCGUCAUCGGCCCGCCAGCACCACCGACACCACAUCCACGGAUGCGUCGGGGUCACAGCCAGGUAUAGCCAUCACAUUUAUCCAGUUCAUUUUAUGUUUUAUUUCUUCUUGUUGUUUUUUAAUUUUUGUAUGUGUAUUUGAUUGUUAAAUUUAUUUUUUAUUUAACAUUCAUGUCAUCUUUCUUUGCAGCAAAGAAGAACACCCGAGGGCCGUGUCGGCAAUUGAAGACGGCGAAGGUCACCCGGGUGACCAACAGUCGUAUCAACAUCGGAUACGACGAGCGACAUCGGGCUGCACCGACGGCGGAGUUGCAUAGCUCCUUGGCCCACGACAUUGGUCAUGUCAUUCGGAGCUAUUGUCCGAUGCAAUGGAAGUCUUGGAAGGUGAUGCCUGACGAGACCAAGACUGCGGUUCGCGGCCAGUUGUCUAUAUGCAGGCCUUUUCAUUCUUUUUCUUUCAAACGUAGUUUUUAUAUUAUUUAAAUGUAUGUAAUUAAUUUAUUGCAGACGAACUACAACUUGGAGGACCUUGACGAAGAGUCGUUGGCGUACGUCAACAGACUCUUCUCUGAGAGGUACAAGCAGUGGAAGAGCGACUUGCACCACCAUUUUGAGGCGUUCGAUGAUCCGCAAGUCGCUCUUCAAGAGGGUUGCCCGAAAGAGCUUGAGGGGCGGGAGGAUAGUUGGGCGUGGCUCUGCGCUCAUUUUCAGGCGCCCGCUUUUGUGGUAAUUUUGUAUAUUUUAUUUUAUUUUAUUACAAAUGUUUUUUUAAUUUUUUAUAUUUAAUUUCAAUUUCAACUAAUACGUUUUAUUUUUUGUAUAACAGAAUAAAGCCAAAGUCAAUAAGGGCAAUAGGAAGAAGAAGACUCUUCUCCAUCAUUCGGGUUCCAGGCCCUUCUCCUAUCGGAUGGAUGCACGGCGUCAGGUAAUAAUAGAAUAAUUUUUAUUUAAUUUUUUACUUUUUCAUUAUUCUUAAUUUAUUUUGUCGUUCUAAUAUUUGUCUUCUUUUGUUCAAUUUAGGGGGGGUCCAAAUUCCCAGAGAUCGACGUCUUUGGCGACGUUUAUGUUCGGCCUGGGAAUGAGUUGGCCGAGUCCCUUCAUGUAAGUAUUAUUUAAUUUUAGUUCUUAUGUUACGAUUCAACUUUAAAGUUCAUUAUAUGAGUGUUUGAAUUUAUAUUUUAUGUUAUGCUAAACAAACGACGAUAGUGGAGAGGAGCCAGUUGGUUCUUCAGGAGUCUGCCUCCCAACUUCCUCCCGAUACUCCGAUCGAGUCUGUGGAUCCUCCACAGGAUGCUGGGUUUCAGAUCUUGACGGAGACAUUGGAUCAGACUCUAGGGAGGAGACCGGGGACAUAUUGUCGAGGGAUGGGGAAUGCCAGGCGGAGGAAACCCAGACCCCGUUCAUCAGCGCAGUCGAACAGUCAGGUCUGCUUUGACAGCACAUGUGGCCACUCUUCAGAGCCAGAUGUCGGUCAUUCUGCAGUCCCUCGCACAGUCCGGCAUUCCAGUCCCGCAUUUUGAUGUGCCGACCUCCCAGCCCGUCCACCCCGAGCAUGCCCACCAGACCACUGCCCCAGUGGACGCCCAGACCUCCGAGCCGUAUACUGGCGACGACCCGGUUGAUUUUGCUUCAUUAUUUGAUUAGUGUAUUUAUUUUCAUUAUAAACAUUUAUUUUAUUUGUAAUACAUUUAUUUUAUUUUAUAACAAAAAUUUAUUCUAAUUUAUUUUUAUUGCAAUUUCAUUGUUUAAUCAAUAAAAAAACCAAUUUUUUUUUUUUUUAAAAAAAAUUGUAAUAUUAUUUUUGCGCGACGGAAAACAUGUUGUCGCGCAAACAUGUAACAAAAAAAAAAUAAAAAAAUCAACUUUUUUUUAUUGCUUUUCAUUCUUGCGCGACGAACACAUAAGUCUUGCAAACACGUUUUGCGCGACGAAAGGUUUCGUCGCGCAUCUAGUUUUGCGCGACGACAGUGAUGUUCGUCGCGCACAUAUAUGAGCGACGAAAACAUUCUCAUCGCGCGAAUGGUUCUGCGACGAACAUAUACGUCUCCCGAACAAGUUUUGCGCGACGAAUUAAAUUUCGUUGCGCUAUUCCUGUCGAAUACUUGGUCGUCGCGCAAAGAUUUAUGCGACGACUAGUUGUUCCGUCUCCACACCGUUGGUGCAACGAUGGUUUACCCGUCGCACUGUUUUGCGCGACGAAGGGUUAUACCUCGUCGCGCAAAGGCUUUCUUCACGAUCUUCGCGCGACGGAAUGUGCGCGACGAAUGUUUUGUCGUGCUGAAAUUAGUGCGACUAAAUAAGACUUUGCGCGACGUUUUGUUAUUCGUCGCGCAAAGAGUAAAAUGUAGUAGUGAAUGGCAGAGGACGCGAUUCUAGGAUACCCGGAGAAAAACAAUCAAAUAUCAGACUCAAUUCAAGAACAUGAAUAAAAGAUUUCAUUGACAUAGUGGUCUUGUUUGUGUCGGGGUGUAGAAUCCCUGUUUGGAGUUUGCUACUCCAAAAUCUGAAAUGGCCUAAACCAUGUGAGUUAAAACUUUUUUUUUUAAAAUACAACUAAUAAUCUAAAUUAUUAUAAAUUAAUCUAAUCUAAGGGGAAAGGGACUCAAAUUUGGGUGUAAGGAGGUGGGCACAUUGCCCUGGCCAACUAAUCUUACCCACAACUUGAGUUAAAACCUACAAUAUAAGUAAUUAACAUAUACAUUUUGCUUGUUUCUAAAGGUGCGCUUAGGCUUUUCAUUGACUCAGUCUUGUUGAGGAAAUGACGAGAGUUUUUAAUUUGUAUUUUAGAUGGAUGUGUUAUAUUUUGAUGAAAAAUAUCAUUUUAAAAUAUUAUAUUUUGAUGAGACAUAAGAUAUUAUAACGAAAGUUUUUGAUAAAAUGCCAUAACAGGAAUCAAAUGAUUAAAGAUUGACUUGAAAAAAAGAACCUUCAUACAAUUUAGGGCAAAGUAAACAAGUCAUAUAUAGCCUAGAAAAACAUAACGAACCAAAAGAAAAGGCCCAAAAUACUAAUUUUACAUAUAUAUAUAUGUUUAUAUAUUUAUAUUAUUUUAAUUACGGUAUCGGUGCCGUACCUGUAUCCUACUUUUUGGAGAUUUGCUGUAUCGGUGUAUCGUAUAGUAUCGGAGUACCUGUAUCCGUAUCGAUGCAACAUAGGGACUGAUACAUAUCUUGUGCUCUUUAAUUUCCAGCGCAAAUUACCUGUUAGAAGUUUACUCCUUUUACAUUGUAAUUAGAUUGCUGGAUGGUUGUUCAUUUGGUGUUUCCUGGUUGGAGGUUGAGGCUUUGCUCUAGAUGACUUUAGCCCACAAAAGAGAAAUUAGUCUAUAUGUUUCAAUUUAUUUUAGAAGCAUAAUCAAUCUAACUAAAAUGGUCAUGUAGGCAAACAAUAAGAUAGUCACUGUAAAAGAUUGAUGUGAUCAUAAAAAAAGGUAUUGACAAGCUUUUAAAUGUGCUUAUCGACCUACUAAUUAGUUCAACUUUGUAUUUUGUUUUAAAUUUAGAUAUUUGUUGUAGUCCAUAUAAGAAAGGGCCUAUUUCUUAUUGUCUUCUACAUAGUUGAAGCACCUUCAUAUGGCAUAAUGAAGUAAAAGAAUAUGAUUGAAUUUGAUCUGUACAUUAUAGCGAGGUUGUUCUUUAAAAUUGGCAUGCGCAAAGUAGGAAACCUUGAGUUUGUUUUCUACCUCACCAAAUAAUUUGACAAAAGAAUAAAGUAGUGCAAAAAAGGCUUCUUUGAAGCCCUAUUCUUUGGAUGAUGGCUUUGUGUAAUUGAUUUCUCUGUUCACGUAAUAUGAAAUUGGUACUUAGGUGACGAGGGGUAAACUUAAAAGAUAUUCAACCAAGAACGCAACAAACUUCACACACUCUAGACCUUCACCAAUACACUUAUGACUAGUCAACUGCUAGGCAUGAACAUCCACAAUUAAGAAUACACACAGAGUAUGCCACAAUGUACCUGCAACCCUAGAAGAUUACUAGUGACAACCUAGGCACUCAGAAGGACCCGUCAAUCUAGGCAUUCCCUGUGCUAGCAACAACUAUGGUGAAAGUGUGUGAAAUUAUCAUAAUCAAGUAAACACCAAACAGCAGAUAAUGAUGACUAGUCAACUAUAAGGACACAAACUCAGAAUUCAUAGGAUGACUAGUCAACCACUAAGAACACAAACCCAGAAUUCAUAGGAUGACUAGUCAACUAUAAGGAUACAAACCCAGAAUUCAUACAAUGACUAGUCAACCACUAAGAACACAAACCUAGAAUUCAUAGGAUGACUAGUCAACCACAAUUCAUACGAUGACUAGUCAACCACCAAGAACACAAACUCAGAAUUCAUACGAUGACUAGUCAACCACUAAGAACAGAAACCCAGAAAAAUUACAGUGAUGCAAUCAGAAAUUGUUCACCUAGAAACCCACAAUUGGGAAAAACUGGGAGUCAUCAACCGACCAGCCAAUCCACUAAGUAGAAAAAGAUUCUUACAAAGGAACACGAGCAAGCUCAAGAAAAACUUAGAUCUAUUUAGGAAGAUGAGCUAUACCUCCUUUGUGCAAUCUUCUUCUCCAACUUAGCAAAGCUUGAAGCUCAGUUCUUCAUGGCAAUGACAGCUCUUUCUCCAGCUCAUUCAUCCCAUGACACCAGCUUGCAAGCUCUAACUUAGUCAGAAACCAAAAUUUGGAUUCAAAGGAGAAUGACCAAUUUCUUCAAGAAACCAUACUCUUGAGGAAAUCAAUCUUGAAUCUGACCUAAAUAUAUAUGAGAGAGUGUUGAUCUAGCAAGAUGAGGAUUUCAUAUUUCAAAUGCAGUUUUCAAAAAGAAACAUUUUGGAAAACUCAAAGAUGAAAAAUAUGAAGGUUACACUUGAGGAAGAAGAGAAAGUUUACAAAGAAACUUUCCAAAACUUGCCUACAAAAGUGAUAGCUACCAAAUGAGGAAUUCCUUGGCUUUUACCAAAAAUUCCUAGGUCAGAAUAGACACAUGGCAGCUGAGAAAUUCGUAGAAAAAGAUAAAAAAAUGGUUAAGCCCCAACUGGAAACAGUAAGCUGGAAAACCGAAUUGAAACAAAGGUUGGCUAGUCAUACGAAUGCAAGAUGACUAGUUAUACAAAGAAAAGAUGACUAUUCAUAAUCUUCAGAAAUUUAAUGAAUGCAAUGUAGUGUAAUGCAGAGUUUACCUUUGUCAAACACAUUGUUUUCCAUCAUAAUGUAGGCAGAUAAGAACACCUAGAGAAGUAAUUCUUAAUCUAAACUUAGAGCUUGGGAAACUACAAUGAUUGUCUUAUUACAAAAUUGUCAAGGGAAGCCAAAAGAAAAAACUCAAAAUGCAUACAUUAACAUGAUCGAAAAUGAGUUUUAAUGUAGGUAAUAAACUUUUAAGAUAAAUAAUGAGCCUGAAAAGAUUGCAAGCUUUUUGAGAGAGUAAUGUAUUGUGAAUUAUUGGGCCAUUUAUUGCAAUAUCAGAAAAGUCAUGUGUAUUGGAUGAUUAUGGCUGAUUGAUAUUCAUUCAUUUCGUAUGCUACUUACUUUGAUAUUAAAGUCAAUGUUGAUCCUGCGUUGUGGCUGCUGCAGAUUGGCAAUCUCGGGCUUCUGCUUCUAUGGCAUAUUCUACACCUUUUUGUCAGCAUAUGGUACUUUCUAUUGGGUUUAGCUUAUGUUCUUCAAAGCUAUCUUAUUUCUGGUGGAGUACUCGAGCUACAAAGCCCUUAAUUUGGGCAAGCUACGUUACCUGGCAAUUGUGAUAGAAAGUGAAGAAGCUUACCAAACAUCAAAAGUAAUUGAGCUGCUGCAGUGGCUAGAAGCUAUUGGUGUGAAGC